UCCGGUUUGUCACCGGCAGUCUCAUUAGAGUGCCCAACUAAAUGUAGCAACUAAUGACAAGGGUUGCGCUCGUUGCGGGACUUAACCCAACAUCUCACGACACGAGCUGACGACAGCCAUGCAGCACCUGUGUUCCGAUUCCCUUUCGGGCACAGCCACAUCUCUGCGGCCUCUCGGACAUGUCAAGGGUAGGUAAGGUUUUCGCGUUGCAUCGAAUUAAUCCACAUAAUCCACCGCUCGUGCGGGUCCCCGUCAAUUCCUUUGAGUUUUAACCUUGCGACCGUACUCCCCAGGCGGAAUGUUUAAUGCGUUAGCUGCGCCACCGACAAGUAAACUUGCCGACGGCUAACAUUCAUCGUUUACGGCGUGGACUAC
rnacentral:misc_RNA from 1 species